rnacentral:rRNA from 1 species
GACGAACGCUGGCGGCGUGCUUAACACAUGCAAGUCGAACGGAAAGGCCCUGCUUUUGUGGGGUGCUCGAGUGGCGAACGGGUGAGUAACACGUGAGUAACCUGCCCUUGACUUUGGGAUAACUUCAGGAAACUGGGGCCAAUACCGGAUAGGAGCUCCUGCUGCAUGGUGGGGGUUGGAAAGUUUCGGCGGUUGGGGAUGGACUCGCGGCUUAUCAGCUUGUUGGUGGGGUAGUGGCUUACCAAGGCUUUGACGGGUAGCCGGCCUGAGAGGGUGACCGGCCACAUUGGGACUGAGAUACGGCCCAGACUCCUACGGGAGGCAGCAGUGGGGAAUAUUGCACAAUGGGCGGAAGCCUGAUGCAGCAACGCCGCGUGCGGGAUGACGGCCUUCGGGUUGUAUACCGCUUUCGCCUGUGACGAAGCGUGAGUGACGGUAAUGGGUAAAGAAGCACCGGCUAACUACGUG